UUAUCCGGAUUUAUUGGGCUUAAAGGGAGCGUAGGCGGACGCUUAAGUCAGUUGUGAAAGUUUGCGGCUCAACCGUAAAAUUGCAGUUGAUACUGGGUGUCUUGAGUACAGUAGAGGCAGGCGGAAUUCGUGGUGUAGCGGUGAAAUGCUUAGAUAUCACGAAGAACUCCGAUUGCGAAGGCAGCUUGCUGGACUGUAACUGACGCUGAUGCUCGAAAGUGUGGGUAUCAAACAGGAUUAGAUACCCUGGUAGUCCACACAGUAAACGAUGAAUACUCGCUGUUUGCGAUACACGGUAAGCGGCCAAGCGAAAGCGUUAAGUAUUCCACCUGGGGAGUACGCCGGCAACGGUGAAACUCAAAGGAAUUGACGGGGGCCCGCACAAGCGGAGGAACAUGUGGUUUAAUUCGAUGAUACGCGAGGAA
rnacentral:rRNA from 1 species